AGUGAACGCUGGCGGUAGGCCUAACACAUGCAAGUCGAACGGAAGCUCAGUAAUAGCUUGCUCUUACGGGUGGCGAGUGGCGGACGGGUGAGGAAUACAUCGGAAUCUACUUUUUCGUGUGGGAUAACGUAGGGAGACCUACGAUAAUACCGCAUACGACCUACGGGUGAAGGCAGUGGAUCUUCGCGCCUUGCGCGAUUGAAUGAGCCGGUGACGGAUUAGCUAGUGGGCGGGGUAAAGGCCCAGCAAGGCGACGGUGGGCCGCUGGUAUGAGAGGAUGGUCAGCCGCACUGGGACGGAGACACGGUCCAGACUCCUACGGGAGGCGGCAGUGGGGAAUAUUGGGCAAGGGGCGGAAGCCUGAGCCAGCCAGGCCGAGUGGGUGAGGAAGGACUUCGGGUUGUAAAGGCCUUUUUUUGGGAAAGAAAAGCCGUACGUCUAUCCCGAGGCGUUCUGGCGGUACCCAAAGAAAAAGCAACGGCUAACUUCGUG
rnacentral:rRNA from 1 species